rnacentral:rRNA from 1 species
CAGUCGCCGCGGUAAUACGAAGGGUGCAAGCGUUAAUCGGAAUUACUGGGCGUAAAGCGUGCGUAGGCGGUGGGUUAAGUCUGCUGUGAAAUCCCCGGGCUCAACCUGGGAAUGGCAGUGGAUACUGGCUCGCUAGAGUGUGUCAGAGGAUGGUGGAAUUCCCGGUGUAGCGGUGAAAUGCGUAGAGAUCGGGAGGAACAUCAGUGGCGAAGGCGGCCAUCUGGGACAACACUGACGCUGAGGCACGAAAGCGUGGGGAGCAAACAGGAUUAGAUACCCCCGUAGUCCCUGUCUCUUAUAC